AAAAAAAAAAUGGGAAACGAAUGAGAAUUUUAAUUUUUUAGGGUCAAAAGACGAGGGAAAUUAGACAAAAAUAAAUAAAAUUUUGAUAUGGUAGGCACGCGAUUCUGAUUUCCUGGAGGGAAGAGGUCAAAGGUCAGACAAAGGAACGGUCAGACGAUGGCAGCUGGAUUUCAGUUCUCAUUUUUUAUUGGGCAUUUAUGAGUAG
rnacentral:misc_RNA from 1 species